GGCGGGGUAGCUCAGCUGGUUAGAGCGUCGGAAUCAUAAUCCGUAGGUCGUGGGUUCGAGUCCCUCCCCCGCUA
rnacentral:tRNA from 1 species